CCCAUCCAGCCCUGCCCUAUGGCAGUGGGAAGCCCUUCCUUUUGUCCUGUCACUCCAGACCCUUGUAAAAUCUCCAUCUUUCCGGGUGGGCCCUUCAGGUACUGAAAGGCUACAAUUAGGUCAACACAAAACCUUUCAUUUUCCAGGCUGAACAACCCCAAAAAAGAUGAGGGUUGGUAAAAUAUUGUUAAUAUUUCCCUGCAUGGGGAACCUUAUUUCUCUCAACCAUGAACAGCAAGGAUAAUGAUGCACCCAAAAUCUGUCAGGGAGCUGCAAACUAAUUUGGAAGGAAUUAAGCACAACAUCACUUUGCUGCAGCUAAGCUCCAUCUUAAAACUAAAAGGGGAAAAAUGGCCUAUUGUCCAUCAAAUCCAGCUUUUCCUGAGACAAGCUGCAGUUAAUAACAACAAAAACUCGCCUAAAGAAUCAAGUCCUGCACAUUUAUUUUUGACAGCCCCAGCUCAGGCACCUGUUUUCUGAACUGUGACUCAUUGUGCAUCUCCUCUCUGAGUGCUGCUCUCCAGGCCGGGAGACAGAGCAGGGAGGGAAUGACUCAGAGCCAGUGAGGGAUGAGGAAUUUGGAAUUUGAGCAGGGAGGGCAGGAGUGAGUUGAGUGAUGGAAUGAGGAAUUUGAGCAGGGAGGUCACAGGAGUGAAGGACACGCUGCACCCUCUGCAAGGCAGAACCAGCCCUGGAGCCGGGGACCAGAUUCUGCACUCAGGGAGGAAAAUGUGACAUUUCAACAAGCAGCUUCAUUGUGACCUGGACUGCAGACCUCACCCAGCACCAGCCCUGCCCUGCCUGUCACCUGAUGUGACCUAGAUCCAAGCUGUUCUCCUGCAAGAAGAUUUUGAGUGAACUUGGAAAGCAGAGAUCAGAUGUGAGAGAUGGCUCUUAAGGGUAAACUUUUAAAAGGUACAUAAAAUAGGUAUAUUUCCAAAUUUUGUAACAACCUCUAUCAGAUGCUUAAAACCUGCCUCUGCCAGCAACUUCCAUUCAGAGGUUUUGAUAAACCCUUUGUUGAAUUACAGAUGUGAUUCUUUUUUACUGAAGGCUUAAUGGCACAAUAAAGUAGACAUUAUUCAAAUCUAUUCAAAUAAGGUGCAUCUCUCAGACAUUCAGCACAAGAGGACUGCUUUGAGAGGCGCCUGAACAGCAGAGUCCCAUCGUGGGAGCAGAUCCAGAGGGGAGAACAAAGCCCUGGUGCUCGAGUGGGUGGGCAAAGACCGCAGUCACUGGCCCUGGACACAUAGCAAGAACAGCAGAAAGCCAGUCAAGCCCUCCCAGGCUGGAGCCCGUGGGCAGCCCUGUCUGGGGCAAACAGCUCAUGGUGCUUUACAGGUGGGGGCACAGCCCCGUGCUCCCAGAGGCAGCAAAAGCUGCUCUCAGUUGCUUUCCACAGAUGAUUUUACUGGCCCAAACCAGCACUAAAAGCCAAGUAAUUCCAGUUGUUUCUGAGUUUUGAUGUGUAUUUAGCAUGCAUAAAGUGCAAGCCAUUAUAGACAUUAAAAGCAAUAAGAAACAGAUUAGGUGAUUUCAUUAGUCCAGCUUCUCCAGCAGGAUUUUCCACAUGAACAGGGCAUUUCCCAGGGAUUUGACUGGGCUAUUUCUAGGGGACCCUGAUGUGGAAUACACCACCAGUUCCCUUGGGAGUCAAUUUCACAGCCAAAUACUUUCCCCAAGUAGGCUGAAUUGUGUGAUGCUCAACCUAAACACUUUUAUUUUAUCUCAUUAUUUCUAUUUAUGCUGCUUUUACUUGACAAAUUCAAAAAGUUAAUAAUGUGUCACAUAAAACUAAUGGCCAGAACAAUAAAUAUUCUAUAUAAUUUCACAAACACAGCAUCAGUUUUAUUUAGGUUCUGUGAUACAUUGCCAGCAUAUUGCGUUUCAAGAUGUAUUAAAAAAAUACUGUGGAGAAUUUUUUUUCCUUAACAAGAAAACAUGUUUCUGUGGUUUGAUCAAAUAAGUCUUACACGGUUUUCAAUUUCCAGGAAGGAAAUUAAAAUAAAGGAAAAAUCUUAUGGUGGUGGAUGAGAAAAGGAACAUUACCCAAACAGUUCACUUUUAUUACUUGAUUCCACUUGUUCAGGUAAUUUCGCUCUGUAGAAAAAGGGUCAAAUUCCAUUUGCAAGUUUUUAAAUUGUGCCAUUAAAAUCUGAGUGAACAUUUGCAAAACAAGUUACAAGCAAUUUCCUAUUAAAAAUAGAUGAUUAAACUUUAAAAAUUAUAUUCUCAGGGUAGUAUGUGUGUCCUGCAAGAUAGAGAUGAAUGAACUUCUAGCAAUAAUUCACAGUAAAUGAGUUUAGAUUUAAAAUUUACAUUUACCUUGUCCCUGAUAGCUGCCUUGGAAUUUUAGAGGGGCUGGGGAAUGAACUGACUUGGUCCCAGAACUGGGUUGCUGCCUGAGAGGAACUAACAAAAAUCACAUUCAAGCCCUCAGAUGGAUGUUAGCAGCCUGACAUGGGGAACACAGAUCUGAGCACCCCGGAUCUGCAGCCCACAUGCCACCAGCCCCCCGGGGCCCCGAGUCUGCUGCCCCUUAUUUAACAACUGCUCUCAAGGGCUCCAGCGAGUCCAGCAGCAGCCAGCCACCACUCGGGUGAAGGGGAGGGAUUUGUGAGGUGAAUUUGGAUCUCCAAGGCAGCUCCCCUGAAAUGACCAAAUCUUGUGUCACGGUUUGAGCCUGGCCACUCACGGAUGCCAACACUCAUCCUCCUUCACUUCCCAGCCACACCCCAGGGAGGGAUGGAUGAGGCCAUGGGGAGCAAAUCUGGGAGAUAUGUGCAUAUAUAUGUGCAGUGGUGGGUAUUUAUUUUGAUUUUGUACAGGUGAAGGGGCAGGACCUUUACAGUUCUUUUCAAGCAUUCAGCUGGUUUUUGCACAGGAAAACAAAGUAAAAAACCCAACUAAAUGGGACAGCUGGAUGAAGAUUGCAAACACCACACACAAAACAACUAUUUGGCAUAAAUGAAUGCAAAUAAGUCCUUGAUAAUGCUGUCAAGAAGCUGCUGGUGUUAUUAGUACUUCAAUCAGAGAGAUGCUCGUUAGAGGGAAAAAAUGAACUUAGAAAUUCCUUCUCCUGUGGGAAACUUCACGCUCCUUCCUCUCCUUCCAGCAAAUUCCUCCUUAUCAGCUAAAAUCAGGGUCCAACCUGCGGAAAUGUUUACAGUCUUCAAACCUAAAACUAGUUAGAAUCACUUAUCAGCCAAAUGUUCCCUAAACACAAGGCAGGCUUAACAGAUAUGUCUGCUGAUCUCAUGACAGCUCUCUUCUAAAGAUCUAUAUUCAAUAUUAUAUCAUGGGAGUAGAAAAAGUUUCCCCUAUUUUUUUCCCUAAUUUUGCAAUAGAAUUCAAAAUAAGAUACUGGAAACUUGUUUACUGGAAAUAAUUAAUUGGGUGAAGGUUUUAUCAGGUAUUUUUCUUGCUGUUUUGGUAGGAGGGAUCACAGCCAGCCUCUGUGGAGUUCUAGUGCAGCUAAUCCACUUUACACACCUCAACAGCCCAGGGAACGCUCCCUUCCUACUCCUGGUACUCCUUCAAAGGGGAUCCCACACUUUUCCAUGCCCUAAAACUGGGGCAGCAUAUGAGGAAAAAACACCAAAUAGAAAGUACAAGCUGGGGUGUCCUCCCUGUAUAUUCCUUUGUCACCUUGAUGCUCCAGGAGGAAGCCUAAAGAGUGGAAGUGGUUUUGCUGAAGACAAAGUGACAGCUACACACAGACAGCCUUGGAAUUCCUCUGUGUUAAUGUAUGGAAAAGCUCCUAGACCCAGUAACUGCCAGAAAGCCCAGAAAUAAGACUUUAAAAAUUAAAUUGCCUUUCCAAAGGCAAGUUGAGAAACCCAGAGCCUACCUUAGCCAGGUCAGGCAAAACCACACUGGCCUUUUCUGGUCUCAAAGGCUGCAUGUGAUCCAUCUCCAGCAAGUGCCACAGCAGAUCAGGAUUAUUCCCUUUAUUUCCCCCCCCAUCCCUCAAUUUCAUCCCCUCACUGCAACUAGUAUCCUUCUGAGGACAGGAAUGACUUUCAGCCUAUUUGUAUCAUCCUUGAAAAACCCUAAGCUGCUCUGUCUCUAACACAUCUUGAUCAGACAAAAAGAAAAGUGGUUCAAAUUGUGCCUCUGGAGGUUUAGACUGGGUAUUAGGGAAAAUUUCUUCAUGGAAAGAGUUGUGAAGCAUUGCACAGGCUGCCCAGGGAAAUGGGCAUCACCAUCCGUGGAAAUGUUCAAUAACCCUGUGGAUGUGGUACUUGAAGACAGUUUAAUGGUGAACACGGUGCUGGUGCUGUGUUCAUGAAUGCACGUGGUGAUUUAAAGGUGAUUUUCCAGCCUUACCAAUUCUAUGAUUUGACACAGCCUGGCCAUUUCUGCUUGAUGAGGCUUUUGUGCAUCACAGCUCACACCUGGCCUCCUUCCAAAUCCUCCUCUUGCACAGGACCCCCAGUCCCAGCUCACUGGAGCUGUCCUUGCCCUGCUUACACUAACCCAGCUCACUGAAGGUGAGUAGGCUGGGAGACAUCACAAAAGCUGGUCCAUCAGCAAAUCUGAUGGACCAAAAGCAGGUCAGCAACAUGUGAAGUAAAGGGGAAAGUGAGUCAUCAAGAAUGACAACCAGAACAGGAUAAAAGCUGUAAAAACCAUCAGUUCUUUGGCCUUUAGUUCUUUGCUGAACUCCAGCUGCAUGAAACAGCCCAAAAUCAAGCUACAUGUCAAAAUUAACAUGAAUUCACCCUGUAGAAGUGCUGGAGCUGGCAGAUGCUUCAUUUCAAAUCAUUCCUCACCCUGCAGCUUCCCCAAACCCUGCACCCCUGUAGCACAGGACUUACUACUCAUUUCUCUGCUCCUUUACUGCUGGUUGCCGUUUCAUUGCAAUAUAAAAGGAAUUUAACAAGGGUAUCGCUCAGAUGCAAAAUACAAAUAGACUGAAAAUAUAUUAAUUAAUCUGUGGUACCCCCUACCCACUCCUAAAUCAGCUCAUCACUUUAGCUCUGCACUGCGCGAACAGAUGGGAUCUUCUGGCAGCCUUUGAACCACUCAAAAGCACUUUCUCCCAUAACAAAGCAAACUAAUUACUAGAAUAAGAUGCUAUUUCCCAUCUAUUUAUCUGCUAUUUUUAAGGAAUCAGCUCGCUGUCUGAUUCAGGAUUUGCAGUGAAGCCCUCAAACAGCAGAAUUAAAUGCACAUUGGUACAAUGGAACAGAACACACUAAAUGAACUUCUGCUCACCAAAUGCUUCUCCCUUUCCCUUUAGGAAACUAAGGAUCAUGGAUGCAAAGAUAAUCAACACUUAGCACUGGCUUCACGUGCUGGAUCCCUGAACACAGCAGACCAGAGACUGCUCCAGCUCUGCUCUAAAAGAUUCAAAAAUAAUUUUUUUCCAACUUGAGGAUCGUUCUUUCCCAAUGCAACCAUUUUCUUGUUGACCCUGUAAGUGCUUUGCUCAACCUCAGCACUUGCUUGCUAGGCUGUGCAUGUUUUUUCCAAGGUAACUUCUUGCCUUUAGCAACUUCAAGAUAGGUGGAAAUCAAUGUCAAAAUUAUAAACUUCCCAAAUUCUUUCGGGAAAGCUUCUAAGCAUGGCUGCAGAGGAUUACAAGACUUAGAUUAAUCCGAUAACAAGCCCUAAAAAAGCCUGAGCUACAGCAAUACCAGUUCAGACACUUGGAUGAGUCCCAGGCACCUAAGGAAGUUAAACACACUUAGAAAAAUCAUUGCAAUAUUCAGCACGUCUGAACGCACAAAGAGCUGCAGAGAGAAGCUAACAGAUUUUGUAAUAACUAAGCAAAUUUAGUGGUAGAUUUGUGAUUCAGUGGGUAUUUGUUGAGUGGCAAAUAAACCAAAGCAGCUAGUUACGUGUUGCCUAGCUGCAGCCUCUAAUAGGAAUUGCUUCCCUGCAGGUAAAUCACUUUCUAUUACUCCUAAGUACCCCAGGAAAACUACUAAUUGAAAACACAGUUCUAAUACUGUCCAGCUGGAAAACAUUAGCUUAGGAUGGAACUAGCUUGACACUGGCUGCCAACUGGCUACGGACAAUGGAAUAGGAAAUUAAUCUUUUGCAGACAAGACAUACCAUUUUCCACUUCUCCUUUGUAACCUUCAAAUCAACUCGUCAUUAACCAACGGCUUUGAUUCCCAUGGGGAAAGAAAAGCAUUACUGAAUUCAUGAUAAUGUAAGUCUGGCUUUCUUGCAUUAAAAUGAAGACUCUAAUUUUGACAUAGUGGAUGGCAGAGGAACUGGAGGGCAGAUAUAACAUCCAGCACCACAGUAACAUUCCCCUCUUUUCUUGGCUUAGAGUUAAAGAACAGCCAGAUCACAAAGCGACCACAAAGAGAAGCACAGUUGUUCAAUUCUGUAUUGCCCCAGCCCAUCUUCCUGCAGCUCCCUCCUGCCAAGAGCUUUUUCCUAUGCAGGUGCAAAAGGGAUGAGCGGAAAAACCCAAGCUCCUGGCUAGGAGGUGUUAAACCAUAACACCCCAUACAUAUUCAGACUGGUUUUUCAUUUCUAUUUAAAUUCAUUUCCAUGCAGGGACCAACAGAUCAGACUAUCUCAGAAACAUCAUUCCCCAAGUUGCUUCCAACCCACAACCUUCCUGAGCCUCCUCUCCUUUUGUGAAACACUCUGGCCUUUUACAACUACUUUUAUUCCUUAGCCAAGUUCUCCAAGAUGAGAAAAAACUAUAUAAACCCCAUCAAAUCUAGUAACUCUCCUCGUCAUGCAGAGGCACCCUUGUUCUGCAGCUACACCUACCAGCAGAUGAUGGUAGGGGUCCCUCCCCAUGGCAGGGAGCUGGAAUGGGAUGAUCUUUAAGCUCCCCUCCAACCCAAAACAUUGACUGAUUUUAUGGAGUUACCCAUUGGCACAACAUUUCAGGUGCACAUUCAUCUCUUCAGCUCCAGAUUCCUGUACAGGGUUUGUGCCACUGCAUGAAUCAGACCACCUCAUCUGUGCCCAAAAUUGAUUAAGAAACAUGUAUCUGAGUUAUCAGCACAGAGGUAAUUACCAGUUCCUAAUGCUUUCUGGGUCUAAAAUAGGAUAUUUCUCCACAGUCUGUCUUAUUAUGCUUCAAACCAGCUUCUCCAUCCAUUCCAGAGGAACUCAAGGAAGCCAGACAAGAUGAGGGCAGCAGAACAAGAGGAGGAAUAACACACUCAUCAGAACUGAAGAGAUCCAGAGUUUAUCCUCUCAGUAGUUUGAGUGCAGACAACUUGUCAGAGAUCAAAAAGUUUAGAACAGCUUUGUUCUGGCCUGAUCCCACAGGAGAGGUGUUUUUAGCUACUUCCAGACAACAGAAGAUGAAGGGAAGGGCCCCAGACAGCCAGACUGAAACCCAAAACCAUCAGAAGCCAGGCUACAUCCUCCCAGAUCUGUCUCCAGCCCCAUGCAACAUCCAUCUGCAUCCCACGGCCUUUUUGAUGAGCAAUGAAAUAAAGGUUCAGUCUCA